CAGUAGCCGCGGUAAUACGAAGGGGGCUAGCGUUGUUCGGAUUUACUGGGCGUAAAGCGCACGUAGGCGGACUUUUAAGUCAGGGGUGAAAUCCCGGGGCUCAACCCCGGAACUGCCUUUGAUACUGGAAGUCUUGAGUAUGGUAGAGGUGAGUGGAAUUCCGAGUGUAGAGGUGAAAUUCGUAGAUAUUCGGAGGAACACCAGUGGCGAAGGCGGCUCACUGGACCAUUACUGACGCUGAGGUGCGAAAGCGUGGGGAGCAAACAGGAUUAGAGACCCCCGUAGUCCCUGUCUCUUAUAC
rnacentral:rRNA from 1 species